rnacentral:rRNA from 1 species
GACGAACGCUGGCGGCGUGCUUAACACAUGCAAGUCGAACGGAAAGGCCAGAAUUUUGUUGCUCUGUUGUUAGCCGCGGGCGGGUGAGUAACGCGUGGAUAGUCUACCUAUAAGACUGAGAUAACUUCGAAAAACCGGAGAUUAUACCGGAUAAUCUUUUGAACCGCAGGGUUCAAAAGUGAGAGACGGUCGUGCUGUCAGUUAUAGAUGGAUCCGCGCUGCAUUAGCUAGUUGGUAAGGUAAAGGCUUACCAAGGCAACGAUGCAUAGCCGACCUGAGAGGGUGAUCGGCCACACUGGAACUGAGACACGGUCCAGACGCCUACGGGAGGCAGCAGUAGCGGAUCGGCCGCAAUGGGCGAAAGCCUGACGGAGCAGCGCCGCGUGAGUGAUGAAGAUCUUCGGAUCGGAAAGCUCUGUUAUUAGGGAAGAACAGAUGUCUAAGUAACUGUGCACAUCGUGACGGUACCGAAUCAGAAAGCCACGGCUAACUACGUG